rnacentral:lncRNA from 1 species
UCUUAGUAGGAAUCGAACCCUUAACCUUUUACUUACAAUUCUUAUUAGAUUUACCACUAAGCCAUAUGAAUUAAUUUGUUAUAUUUUUGGAACCAACAUAUAAUCAACAUGAGUUAAGUUAAAAGAAGAAAGAGGAAGUGUUUAUUUAUAUUUUCUUUUUUAUAAUAAGAGAGUAAAAUUCAUGUACAAAUAAAAGGAGAGAUUCAAUGAAAUUCUUUAUUUCAACGUCAUAAGUGCAUUAUACCAAAUAAGACAACAAAUGUAUGGUUUUUUUUUUACAANNN